CCAGUUGUCCCCUCCCCCAAUUUACAUGUUGAAGUUUUAUUCUCUAAUGUGACUGAAUUUGUAGGUAGAGCCGAUAAAGAGGAAAUUAAAGUUAAAUGAGGUCAUAAGGGUAAAGCUAUGCAUCCAAUACAGGAGGGGAGGGGGAUUUUCCCAGGCUGGUCUCUAACUCAUAGGCUCAAGUGAUCUUCCUGCCUCAGUCUCCCAAGGUCUUAUCUCAUGUGGUGAUGCGACAGGGACACUGAUUGGGUUUUUGAGUCAGGAGGCAACAAUGUUUCUGAAUCGUUAUUUAAUACCACAAUUCACGAUUUAAUACCAGGGACAAAACAUUCCACAGGCCACAUAGAUAAAGAUGUAAAAUCCCAGAGGAUUCUCUGAGUUGACAUCCAUGGUAUUCUGCUGACCUGGAACAUCACUCCACAACCUUCCAAUCACAUUCCCUUAGAGAUUGUCAUCCUCUGGAGUUCAAUGUGAGUGGACCCCUGAAGUCAAAUGAAGUGGGGCCCAGCAGAAGCCCUCUCCUUUUCUCUGCUUGAGGCCCCACACCUGUUCAAAUAUUGCCUCCUGGUGGAGGCUACCCCAACUCUGGCAGAACUGCUGCUGUGCCCUGCAACAUUUUGUAUCUCCUCUUCAAAUACAAGUAUUGAU
rnacentral:lncRNA from 1 species